AGAGUUUGAUCCUGGCUCAGAAUGAACGCUGGCGGCGUGCAUAACACAUGCAAGUCGAACGAGAAAACUCCGGGGCUUGCUCGGGGGGAGUAAAAGUGGCGCACGGGUGAGUAACGCGUGGGUAACGUACCCCUGAAUCUGGAAUAACCCACCGAAAGGUGGACUAAUACCGGAUAUUGUUCCGGAGUCGCAUGGCUCUGGAAUGAAAGGUGACCUCUUCAUGAAAGUUGCCGUUUGGGGAGCGGCUCGCGUACCAUUAGCUAGUUGGCAGGGUAAUGGCCUACCAAGGCGACGAUGGUUAGCUGGUCUGAGAGGAUGAUCAGCCACACUGGAACUGGAACACGGUCCAGACUCCUACGGGAGGCAGCAGUGAGGAAUUUUGCGCAAUAGGGGAACCCUGACGCAGCAACGCCGCGUGAGUGAAGAAGGCCUUCGGGUCGUAAAGCACUUUUUCUGAGGGGAUGAGCAAGGGACAGUACCUCAGGAAUAAGUCUCGGCUAACUACGUGCCAGCAGCCGCGGUAAUA
rnacentral:rRNA from 1 species